rnacentral:rRNA from 1 species
ACGAACGCUGGCGGCACGCUUAACACAUGCAAGUCGAACGGAGUUAUUGGAGCUUGCUCUGAAUAACUUAGUGGCGGACGGGUGAGUAACACGUGAGCAACCUGCCUUUGAGAGUGGAAUAGCUUCUGGAAACGGAUGGUAAUACCGCAUAACAUUACCGGACCGCAUGAUCUGGUAAUCAAAGAUUUAUCGCUCAAAGAUGGGCUCGCGCCUGAUUAGAUAGUUGGUGGGGUAACGGCCUACCAAGUCGACGAUCAGUAGCCGGACUGAGAGGUUGGACGGCCACAUUGGGACUGAGACACGGCCCAGACUCCUACGGGAGGCAGCAGUGGGGAAUAUUGCACAAUGGGCGGAAGCCUGAUGCAGCGAUGCCGCGUGGAGGAAGAAGGUUUUCGGAUUGUAAACUCCUUAUCUGAGGGACGAUAAUGACGGUACCUCAGGAGAAAGCUCCGGCUAACUACGUGCCAGCAGCAGC